rnacentral:ncRNA from 1 species
CGGAACGCCCUCCAAUCCGCUACGCCAGGGGUCAUAAGGCGAGUCAGGGAGGCCUGAACCUUCCCGUGGAGCAGAAGGCCAAAAGCUCUCUCGAUCUUGAUUUUCACUAAGAAUACAAGACCGUGAAACCGGGACUUCAAGAUCCUUCUGCCUUUUGGGUUUAAGCAGGAGUGUCAGAAAAAUUCCCGCAGGGAUAACCGGAUUGAGAUCGCCAAGCGAUCAUAGCGACGUCGCUCUUCGAUCCUUCGGAUAUCGGUUCUUUCCUAUCACCAUGAAGCAGAAUUCAACAUGCGUGAGAUUGUUCACCCAGUAAUAGGGAAGAUGAGCUGGGUCUAGACCGUCGUGUGACAGGUUAGUUUUACCCUACUGAUGAUGUGGUGUGCCAUGGUAAUCAUGCUCAGUACGAGAGGAACCGCAAGUUCAGACAUUUGGUGUAUGUGCUUGGCUGAGGAGCCAAUGGGGCGAAGCUACCAUCUGUGGGAUUAUGACUGAACGCCUCUAAGUCAGAAUCCCGCCCAGGCGGAACGAUACGGCAGCGCCGAAGGAGCCUCGGUUGGCCUCGGAUAGCCGGUCCCCCGCUCGUCCCCGCCGGCCCGGCCCGGGGCCCGGCCCUCGCGUCCGCGCGGGGUCGUCGCCCCACCACCGCGCGUCGGGACCGGGGUCCGGUGCGGAGAGCCUCUCGUCCCGGGAAACGGGGUGCGGCCGGAAAGGGCGCCGCCCCCACGCCCGUCGCGCAACGCACGUUCGUGUGGAACCUGGCGCUAAACCAUUCGUAGACGACCUGCUUCUGGGUCGGGGUUUCGUACGUAGCAGAGCAGCUCCCUCGCUGCGAUCUAUUGAAAGUCAGCCCUCGACACAAGGGUUUGU